rnacentral:rRNA from 1 species
GAUGAACGCUGGCGGCGUGCUUAACACAUGCGAGUCGAACGAAGCAUAUCAAUUGGAUUUCUUCGGAAAGAAGAUUGAUAUGACUGAGUGGCGGACGGGUGAGUAACGCGUGGGUAACCUGCCUCAUACACGGGGAUAACAGUUGGAAACGACUGCUAAUACCGCAUAAGCGCACGGUAUCGCAUGAUACAGUGUGAAAAACUCCGGUGGUAUGAGAUGGACCCGCGUCUGAUUAGCUAGUUGGUGAGGUAACGGCCCACCAAGGCGACGAUCAGUAGCCGACCUGAGAGGGUGACCGGCCACAUUGGGACUGAGACACGGCCCAAACUCCUACGGGAGGCAGCAGUGGGGAAUAUUGCACAAUGGGCGAAAGCCUGAUGCAGCGACGCCGCGUGAGCGAAGAAGUAUUUCGGUAUGUAAAGCUUUAUCAGCAGGGAAGAUAAUGACGGUACCUGACUAAGAAGCCCCGGCUAACUACGUGCCAGCCGCCGCAGUAAAAC